GACGAACGCUGGCGGCGUGCCUAAUACAUGCAAGUCGAACGGUUUAGUUCCAAGAGGCUUGCCUUUUGGAACUAGACAGUGGCGGACGGGUGAGUAACACGUAGGCAACCUACCUGUCAAACCGGGAUAACCUCGGGAAACCGAAGCUAAACCCGGAUAAGCUCCUUUUUCGCAUGAAGGGGGAGUGAAAAGGUGCGACCUGAUGACAGAUGGGCCUGCGGCGCAUUAGCUAGUAGGUAGGGUAACGGCCUACCUAGGCGAUGAUGCGUAGCCGACCUGAGAGGGCGUACGGCCACACUGGGACUGAGAUACGGCCCAGACUCCUACGGGAGGCAGCAGUAGGGAAUCUUCGGCAAUGGGCGAAAGCCUGACCGAGCAACGCCGCGUGAGUGAGGAAGGCCUUCGGGUUGUAAAACUCUGUUGUUUGGGAAGAAGGGAAAGGGUAGGACCCUUAGGUGACGGCACCAAACGAGAAAGCCCCGGCUAACUACGUG
rnacentral:rRNA from 1 species